GCCGGAGUGGUGAAACUGGUAGACGCAGGGGACUCAAAAUCCCCCGAUCCUUGCGGUCAUGUGGGUUCGAUUCCCACCUCCGGCACCA
rnacentral:tRNA from 2 species